GUUAAUGUAGCUUAAACUACCAAAGCAAAGCACUGAAAAUGCUUAGACGGGUUAACUAACCCCAUAAACA
rnacentral:tRNA from 1 species